GCUCACACACACACACACUCACUCACACACACACACACACACACACAUUUUAGGUAGAUUGUCCUAAUUGGUGUUCUUUUGUUUUUUCCAUAUCUUCAUGCCAAUACCUGAUUGUCUUCCCAUUACAGAAACCAAAAACAUCACAGGCUUUUGGGCCACUGAUCUCCUUUAUUGACAAGGUUUACUCAAGGGGCAGUUGAGGAAGUGAAGAAAAAGGAGAAGGCAGAGAUACCAUGAAAACAGCAGAGGUUGAGGAAGAAGAAGCUGAGAUCAAGAGAAGAGAGCCCCUGCUUAAACAGUGAAAAGAAAAAGAGGCUCCAAUAAGAACAAGACUACAGAAAACAAAGAAAGGAUCUAAAGCCGCUGAGGAAGUCCAACUGUCGGCUGCACAAGCCACUAUGAUGGAUCUUCCAAUGGGCUGUCCUACACCAGUGUAUUGUCCAGCGCCCCCUAGUUAAUAUGAAUCAGAGGUUCCUGUUUUGAAAACUCAACAAGCUCCUACUAUACUGAAAGGUGUUGAGCUUCAAAUUUAAUACAGAUCAGUGUCAUGCAAUACUAAGUAAUUAAUAACUGUAAUUAAAUUACUUUUUCAAAGUAUGGGAUUACUCUUCAUUUUUCAGUAAUUUAAUAACAAUUACUUCUGGUGUAAUUGUGUUAAAUACUGUAUAGACUAUAGAACAAUUCUGUAUAAAACAAUAGUGAAUUUAAAAUUGAAAUGUAAUGUCUAAUGUUAAAAUAUGUUUUCUAAUUUAACGAUGCCCCCUUCAAUUCUUUGGCCAGUUCAUGAAUAAUUUAUUUGAUUUGAUAUGAUUUAUUUGAAAUAAUUAAAAGAACAGAUUCAUCCUUGUGUUUUUCAUCUAGUCGAGGUUGAUAAGGGUUUUAAAAAGUAAUUAGUAAUAAGUAAUUAAAUUACUUUUCAAGACAGAGUAAUUAGUACAGUAAUGUAAUUACAUUGUAGAAGAUGUAAUUAGUAGUUUGUAAUUAAUUACUUUUUAGAGUAACUUACCCAAAAGUGAUUAAGAUUGAGUUGUAUAUUCUAAUUGUUUGUCAUUGUCAUUCCAAAAGAAAUUACUCAUGUAAUGAACAAUUUUCUUAAAAAUCGGAAGCUGCUACAGCACAGCCAAAAGAAACCACAAAAAGGAAAGGUAAAUUAGGAAUGUCUCGAGUUAAUGAGUGAACUCAGUUUUUUUUUUUUUUGCUUCAUUAUAUUAACAGACUUAUUAAAAUAAAAACCUCUGACUUGUAAUUUAAGAUCCAACUGCACCAAAAUAAAAAAUCAAACCAGCUUGUGUAAAGAAGGGUGAGAGCAAAUUUAAAUGGAAAUAUCAUGUUCAGUGAUUAAGGAAUAAUGUUAGCAUUGUUUGCCCUUAUUAUAACAACAAUAAUGAUUGUUGUAUGUGUUUUUUGCGAAUUCUUUCAUUUUUUCUUUUUUUUUUUUUUUUUGUAUGUAGAACCUGGUGUUACCAAAGAUAAAUUAAAACCUUAAGCUGCAAAGAAAGAGCCAGAGAUCACUAAAGAGAAGACAAAACCUACCUCUGCUUAGAAAGUAACCAGAGAAACCAAGUCAGCAACUGCAAAGAAAGGACGUGCAUUAUUGUGCAUAAAGCCAACGUCUCAAGUUGUUUCCUGGGAGUAAAUGUAAUUAUCUGUACACUUAGUUUAACCCUUGGUUGAAAUCUGCAUCAUCCUCUGCUUUUGGUUAUCAAUUGCUCACAAAUGCUUCUGAAACAUACUUACACUCUGAGAUCAUUGAAAAUUACAUGUUGUUUUUAAUGAAUCUCUCCACUUGACAUUUUUUAUUUUAUCUGAUGCUACAAAAGGCCUGCAGUGAUGCAUCUAAACUUUACAUGAAAGUCAGUCUCAUGAAAGACUCUGUCUGUCAUCGCAUUAAGAUGUGAAGUAUGGAUAUGGAUGAUUGCAUAAGGAAAGCAUUUGUAUUGUUUAAGUGACAUUCCAGUAACAACAAAGAGAACUGAAGAAGUUUUGUGCCAUUGCCCUUCUGCCUUUGCAGUUCCUGCUGUUGAAUUGAAUUUCAAGAUGGAAAAGAAUAAAGUUA